ensembl:processed_transcript Gm16835 predicted gene, 16835
GCUGAGAGGGCGCGGGCUCGCUACAGAGGACUGCAGAUCUAAGGGGAUGCUGGGGUCAGGCGGGAGAACGCCUCGGAUAAGGGUCAGGACUGGGCGGACACCGGAUCUGAGGGGACACAGGACUGUGAGCGACCCUGGAUCGCGAGGUCUGAGCAGCAACUUGCGGGAGAGGGUGUCUCAGGGAUGCAGGGUCCCUCAGCCACUCCCCGGCCGCGGCGCUUGCCGGGCCUGGGCACCCACCUGGCCUCCAGCAGCAGCGGGGUCUCGGGCCACUUCGCAGCCAAGUGGGCGGUCACCGCCUUGGACGCAGUCGCCGUGCGGGAGCCGAGCAGGGCGAGCCACAUCGCGACGGAGCGCAGGAGAAGCCUCAGCCCCUUCGUGGCCCUGGUCCGCACCAUGGCCGAGGGAAGCGCGAGACGCCACGCUACGAUCCGCUCCUCCCGGUGCUCCGCCGCCCACUUCCGGUGGGGGGAGCUGCAGUCCGUUACUCCGCCGGUCGUGGUCGUGCGCAUGCGUGGCCAGCAAGGUCCAGGGGCGCAGUGGGGGAGCCCCCGGGUGGACACCGCCCCCUUGCCUUCGCAGGGCCGCCGCGAGGAUGCUCCGAGGGUCUGCCGCCGGGUCUCGGGCAACCCAGCCUUCCAUGCCAAUCUACCACUAGCUGGAGCUGCCCCAGCCCCGCUGGUCAGGGACCCUGGGCGAGGGCCAAUUUUCGCGUUAGCAUCACCUGGGGGGAGCAGGAGAGAGAGUAGGCCUUAAAAAUGAGGCGCAGGCGACUCAUGUGUGCACUGUUGGGAGAGCAGUGAUUUAUCUAUCAGUGGGCUUUCCCUGCUUUCUGGCUGGUUCUCAGGGCUGGACCUCGCUCCCCACCACCUCUCCAACCCACCAGGAUUCAGAUCUUGCUGCUAUCAGAAAUGGUUAUUUCAGGCCUGCCACUUGCUUUUGGAGUUGGAUGCAGAAGUGUGAUCCUGAAUCUCAGCCCCUUGGAAGACCCAGGUGAUUCCUAUGCCCUGAGAAGACUGAGAGGCGCUGUUUCAAGAGAUUACAGCUAAAUAGAAAAAGAAGAAGAAAAAAAAAGUCGGUAAAUGAUAUUAGUGAAAUUUUCUUUAGAAGAUGCUGUUCUAAAGACUGCUCAGGUAAAUCUCCAUGCCACAGUGGUGCCUUCACUACCGAUUUCUCUCCCAGUGACUCUUUCGUCAGCUGUCACAUCGCUGGAUUUUCACUUUAGGACCUGAACGCAGAGCUUACUUAUUUCCCUACUGUAGAUGAUACUUUUAUCUGGGGACUCACGCCUCACUCAUUUCUGGAACAAUUUAUGUCGAGGAUCAAGACCAUCUCUCCAGGUUGUUUCCUUGCCUGAGGAUAAGAGGGCACGAGUGGGUGACCUUCAUAUUUUUUUUCUCUAUGCAACUGCCUCGUGCAGGUAGAAAAAUCCAACUGCAAAACCUCAACAAAGAACACCCUGUUUUGAUCCAGUGUGAAUGCAUUCCAGGCUCUAAGCUAAAGGUGCAGAGCCCUAUUUGAAAGAUCCACAUGGUCUGCUCAAAGGUCACCCUUUUCUCUGGGUUGUAGCUGUACUGGAGAAAAUCGGAACUCCAGCGCACCCCAAGAAGGUGCAGAGAAGCUAUUAAGGACAUUUGAGGGUGAGCUGGGUGAAAAUUAGUUUAUGACCUGGAGAUCUGACUGUAGAAAUUGAUUACUAUAAGGUGUUAUAAAACAGCAUUUUUAGGAGAUGAAUAAAACUUUGUAAAGUAAUACUGUCAAAUGAUUUAGCAAAAGCAUGUAUUCUCAGGCUGUUAAAACUGGUGAAAUUGCAAAGCCUGCUCACUAGGUGGGGACCCAUGCCUGGUACUGAAGGCUUACUGCUUGUGGCUGGAGAGGACACAGACCCCAGCUGAGAACCAUCUGCUGUUGUUUUCCUAAACCAAUGUAAUUCCUAGAAAUAUCCAAACUAUGGACAACCCUAGAUGUGAAGCUAUCUCUGCCCACCAAAGACAGUUCUCUCUGUAGCAGGGGAAGCUAGUUCAGAGGCUCAGAGCUGGUCAAGUGCAGAAGGUCACUGGGUGUGGGGUUUUCAGCCCCAGCUGGUCCAUCUACACUGCAGUCCCUAUGUGUAAGGCUCAGCCCCAGCUGGUCCAUCUACACUACAACCCCUAUGUGAGGCUCAGCCCCGGCUGGUCCAUCUACACUGCGACCCCUAUGUGAGACUCAGGCAUCAUGGAAUAGGGUGCAGGAUGAUUGUUAGAAUCAGAGGGCCAGGACAUCUGCUGCUAGACAGUGUCUCCUGGACACGGCAGGGAUACAGCCCCAUGAAAUCUCAACAACCUGGCUGUCUAAACAAGCCCUACCCCAAUACCAACAUGCCGAGGUGGACGGAGGAAGUUUCACAGGUGUUUUCUUUGUAGAUAAACUGGUUGACCUUCCCCAUGCAAAGUAGAACUAGAAGACGGUGUGAAGCUGGAUCAUGAAUCCUCUUCCUUGUAUGUGGCAGAAGCAAGGGAUGGAUGGGCACCCUACUCGGCUUUCUCUUGUUUAUAAACUUUCAAGAGUCUGAGGCACAUUGAUCGAAAGAGAUAAAGGACAACCAUCCGAGUCAGAGACCAUCAGGGAAGAACAGGCACUCGUAGAAAUGUUACAGGAGCAGCUCAAGGAUCAUGAAGAACGACCAAUAAACAGGAAGCAAAGGAUUUUCCCUACAGGUUUCACAAGAACAAGGCCCUACUGACAUAUUGAUUUCUGAUUUCUCUCCAUAAGAACUGUGGAUAGCUUCUGUAAAUUUAAGAGGAAAAACAAAGAAAACAAAAGC